rnacentral:rRNA from 1 species
CGGCGAGCGAAGCGGGAAGAGCUCAAAUUUAUAAUCUGGCACCUUCGGUGUCCGAGUUGUAAUCUCUAGAAAUGUUUUCCGCGUUGGACCGCACACAAGUCUGUUGGAAUACAGCGGCAUAGUGGUGAGACCCCCGUAUAUGGUGCGGACGCCCAGCGCUUUGUGAUACAUUUUCGAAGAGUCGAGUUGUUUGGGAAUGCAGCUCAAAUUGGGUGGUAAAUUCCAUCUAAAGCUAAAUAUUGGCGAGAGACCGAUAGCGAACAAGUACCGUGAGGGAAAGAUGAAAAGCACUUUGGAAAGAGAGUUAACAGUACGUGAAAUUGUUGGAAGGGAAACGCUUGAAGUCAGACUUGCUUGCCGAGCAAUCGGUUUGCAGGCCAGCAUCAGUUUUCCGGGAUGGAUAAUGGUAGAGAGAAGGUAGCAGUUUCGGCUGUGUUAUAGCUCUCUGCUGGAUACAUCUUGGGGGACUGAGGAACGCAGUGUGCCUUUGGCGGGGGUUUCGACCUCUUCACACUUAGGAUGCUGGUGGAAUGGCUUUAAACGACCCGUCUUGA